rnacentral:lncRNA from 1 species
AUAUAAUGGAAGCUCUUGGCAAGACUUUCUAACCUGCUCAUUUAGUGUCUUAGCUAGUACAAGAAACACAGUUUCCAUAAAGUACUAGACCAUUCCUUGGGCAUAGGUCCAAUAUGUCCAAGGUGUCUCAAAUGCUUACUUGAGGAUUUUUUUCUGCUCUGCCUCCUAAUACAUCCUGUUCAUUCCUGAAAACAUGACUCUUCUUCUAAUCAAAUAUUAUUUUUACAGUCAGUGGUCUCCCCCAUCAUGUAAAUCCACUUGUCAGAUGAGCCUUGCUGCCUCUGGAGAUUUGGAGUAGGGAAACAGCUUUGUGCAUCACUACCACAGGAAACUGGAAGUCCACCAAACCCAGCAUGCUGUGGGAGGAGCAGAUCUGCAAUAUGAAAAGGACAGCAUCUGUGCUCCCAGUGCUCAGCUAGGAGGUAACAGCGAUGAGUCUGCGGUUAUUGACGAACCUCAAAAUCUCCUUACGGUCUUGGUGCUCGAUGUUAGCAGCUCCCAGUCAAGGCCUUUCAGGUUAGUAGACAACUGCCUUUAGUGUUGCUAAGUCGCCCUAACCUGCAGAGAGUGCACAGCCCUUCACAAGCCACCCACCUCUUUCUGACGUGUUUGACACCUUCUGGGUGAGGAGCAGCCUGUUACUCAGUUUCCUGGAGUCAAAUGAAAAAAAAUACUAAGCAUGCUAUUUUCUAUCAAAAAGGCUCAAAUAUUAUGCUGGCAAUUACAGAGAAG